GUGACCUCAGAUCAGUAGA
rnacentral:rRNA from 3 species